rnacentral:rRNA from 1 species
CACGGGGGGAGCAAGCGUUGUUCGGAAUCACUGGGCGUAAAGGGCGUGUAGGCGGUCAGGUAAGUGGGAUGUGAAAUGCCCCGGCUCACCCGGGGACCGGCAUCUCAUACUGCUUGGCUUGAGUACGGGAGAGGAUGUGGGAAUUCCUGGUGUAGCGGUGAAAUGCGCAGAUAUCAGGAGGAACACCGAGUGGCGAAGGCAGGUCUCUG